AGAGAGUCCACCCCAUGGUUCAGCCAGACCUGCCCAGACGUCUCAAUCAGGAUUGCAAGUUUUGCUUGGGCUCCCGUGGGGCCUCCUGCUUCUGGAAAUGCAUUAUGAAGCUCUUGACUGAGAACGGGGAUGGUUUCUGCAGAUAAACACCUGAAAAGGAAAGCAAGACAAAUAUGACAUCAUUCCUGACUUUAGGAAACUCUGAGAUUAGUGGGAAGACCAGCAAUAAGCUGAUGCCGAGGGAAUAACUUCCCAAGUGGGGAGACAGAUCUGAAGCGCCGUGAAGGCACCGAGGGCCACCAUCUCCACCUGGGAAGGGCCCGGGAAGCAGACAAUCCAGCAGGGAGCCAGCUAGCCUGUGACAGUGACAGGCACUGGGAACCUGGGAGCUUCUCAGCAUCUCCUUCUCACACUCUGCCUCUGAGCAGCUGGGAAUCCUUACCCCUCCAAUCUCCUGACUGCUCAUCUCCCUGGAGCCAGGACCCUGAAUCAGUAUUCAUGGACUGUUAGUGGCUUGCAAGGCAGAGCAGACAGAUGGACGUGCUCAGGAAGCCUAUUGAUCAGCCCUUGGUGUGACCUGCCCAGACCUGGUUCUGUUUCAAGCACUGAUCACGUGGACAAGAGUCCUUAGUUCCUCUCAGCACCAUUUGAGAUGAGCAACUACACAAGACAAAGACGAAAGGAUUUUUCAGCUCAAAAAUCCUGUGAUUCUUUGAUUCUAAGAAGAGAUUUUCUUACAAGGAGUUUGCCUAAUGUCCACACGGCUUGUGUCUCCUCCCAGCAGCCGGCCUGUUGGUGUGUGUGCUGUGUGUGGAGAGUGGCCUUAGGCCUGUGUUGUGAGUGAUGUCUGCAGAGCAUGGGGUUGAUUUGGAAGAAGGUGUGAUCCGAAGUUGUGUUUGUCCUGAGCUCCUGUCACCCUUGAAGGCAGCAGAGGAUCUCCUGUCAGUGACCCAGGAGGACAGCUUCCUGAAGGACAUUCUGCCCAUUGCACAGAGGGGCUUUCGUGAUUGGUUUGCCCAGAUGUGACUUUUUUCCCUACCUUUGAAGGCCUAGAUUGGGUUUCCCAUUUCUUGGCCCUUUGGAAAGGCCAAUGGCUCCAUGUUUGACAGGCUGCCCUGAGCAGUAGGUGCUCCAUUUAGACCCAGGCUGCCCCAAUCCCAGCUCUGAUCUGACUCUCAGCUCUGAGGCUCCGUUGAGUCCCUGGGCCUCAGGGACCCUGUUCAGGCUUUGCUGAUGGUGGCAUCAAGUGACCUCCGAGCCACCUCCACGUUGGCUCAGACUGAGGAAACUGGUGAUCUUGUCUUGCUGUUUGCAAUACUUGAAGACAAAAACAGAACUUGUGCUGCAUUCUCAAGAAAGAAGAGACAACUGUUCCUGUACCUCACUCUUGUAGAUAUCUGUGUGAAGAAGCAGUGAUGGGUGCAUGCAAGCUAGGGAGCGUCAAGGCUCCCACGGCAUGGGCGCCAGCUGACCCCUGUUUUCAUCUGUUGCUCCGGUCGUGGCUCUGAGAUCUGGGCAACCUGAGCCAGCUUGUGCAUUCCUUACCCUUGUGCUUUUGCACUAUCCAUCCCUGUCCCCUAGAACUCCCUCCAGUACAGUCUGCCCCACCCCAUCCCAUCCCAUCCCAUCCCAUGCCAUCCCAUCCCAACUCACCUCACCCCAUCCUACCCCAUCCUACCACAUCCCACCCCAUCCCAUUCCAUCCCAGCCCACACCACCCCACCCCAUCC
rnacentral:lncRNA from 1 species